AUACGACUCUCGGCAACGGAUAUCUCGGCUCUCGCAUCGAUGAAGAACGUAGCGAAAUGCGAUACUUGGUGUGAAUUGCAGAAUCCCGUGAACCAUCGAGUCUUUGAACGCAAGUUGCGCCCAAGGCCUUUCGGCUGAGGGCACAUCUGCUUGGGCGUUAAACAAC
rnacentral:rRNA from 1 species